GACGAACGCUGGCGGCGUGCCUAAUACAUGCAAGUAGAACGCUGAAGAGAGGAGCUUGCUCUUCUUGGAUGAGUUGCGAACGGGUGAGUAACGCGUAGGUAACCUGCCUUGUAGCGGGGGAUAACUAUUGGAAACGAUAGCUAAUACCGCAUAACAAUAGGUGACACAUGUCAUUUAUUUGAAAGGGGCAAUUGCUCCACUACAAGAUGGACCUGCGUUGUAUUAGCUAGUAGGUGAGGUAACGGCUCACCUAGGCGACGAUACAUAGCCGACCUGAGAGGGUGAUCGGCCACACUGGGACUGAGACACGGCCCAGACUCCUACGGGAGGCAGCAGUAGGGAAUCUUCGGCAAUGGGGGCAACCCUGACCGAGCAACGCCGCGUGAGUGAAGAAGGUUUUCGGAUCGUAAAGCUCUGUUCUAAGUCAAGAACGAGUGUGAGAGUGGAAAGUUCACACUGUGACGGUAGCUUACCAGAAAGAGACGGCUAACUACGUG
rnacentral:rRNA from 1 species